rnacentral:lncRNA from 1 species
AUGCCAGAUGAUUAUCGGAGGCCUUCCCACCGAACCCACAGCUUCAGGGGGACGCAGGGAGGCUGGCAAGAUAGGGAAAUCCUGUGGCCAAAAGCUUUUGGAGCGAGCAGUUUCUCCUCCCACUUGCAGAGACCACACUUAGAUUUUUGUGGUGUCAUAAAUAUGCUCUUUAGUGUGCGCACUAAUAGGUCUCUGGAACACAUCUGGGUUUGGUGGCUCCGGACCCCGAGGCGUGUGCAUGAAGGCGAGGGCAGCUUUCAUCGGAGAAUUUGAGUGUUUUACCAACUCGGAGAGCCAGGGGUAAACACACAAACUUACCCCAAGUCCGGCUUCCCUCGGCGAUGUCAUGGAGCCAAGCCGUUAAGGAGCACAGAGUAAGGAACUGUUUCGGUAUGAGUAAGAGGACAGAAUUUGGCCCUACACACUUAACUUUCACAUCUCGUUUCCCCCAUAAAGGAAUGUUUACCUCCACUUUAUAGAUCGGUAACUGAUGCACAGAGAUCCUGGGGAGGUUGUCCAAAGUCACAAAUUGAGAAAGUUAAUGAAAAAGGACCCAAGAGUUUUGACUUUGUGCUCUAACCCCAAGGAAAACUUAAUUUGGCACCAGCAGCUGCUUGAUCUUUAGGGCUUCUGCAUGAACAGGGAGUAGUUUGCUUAAUGAAAUAAUAUCCCAGGCACAUAUGAAGAGCAAUUACUUGCUCUCAUAUAAACUCUCAUGUAUUCAUCUAGAAAAAAUGUUCAUGACUCAGUCAUCUGGGAUGGUUCAAGCUACUCACCCUCCAGCAUGAGGCGUAGGCAUUACAGUGGUGAAGUUGAAAAGGAAGACACAUGACCUCAAUUACUCACAAGGAGUCAAAUUAUGAUCUCAGAUACAGUGGUAUAAAUCUAGAGUCAUUCCCCCUGAAGUAAUUGGCAUGAUACUGUAUUUCUUUAACAUAGGGGAAAUCAGAAUGCAGUCUAUAAUCUCAGUAUGUCUGUGGAGCUUUAUUCAGAAAGUCUAUGCUCUCCAGCAAUGUAUUAUUAGUUAUGGAGAAAAAUAAGGUUGGAAAACGUUCAAGGUAGAAAAAUGUACUGAGUUUCCCUGUAGCAAGAGCAACAAUUUAUUACCGAGUUUUGACAGGGUAAGUAGUAAUGAUUUUCCUUUUUUUUUUUUUUUUUUUUUUUUUUUUUUUUUCAUCAGGAUUUCUCUGCUUUUUAUAAACAUUUAAGUUAACUGCUAUACAGAAAACUUCAUAAGGGAAUAUCCACUUGGAAUCUUAUCUUUAAUCCCUCA